ensembl:lncRNA
CCAGCUCCCUGAGCCUUUUGGUCCCUUUUAGUCCCAUCUGCUGCCACAGUCUGGGACUUCUCCUUUACAAAUUUGCAGAAAAAUUGAAAUCAAAAACGUUUUCUAGGCGUUCCUGUUGUGGCUCAGCAGUAAUGAACCUCACUGGUAACCCUGAGGAUGAGGGUUCGAUCCUUGGCCUUGCUCAGUGGGUUAAGGAUCCGGCGUUGCCGUGAGCUGUGGUGUAGGUUGCAGACGUGGCUUGGAUCUGGCAUUGCUGUGGCUGUGGUGUAGGCUGGCAGCUGCAGCUCAGAUUCAACCCCUAGCCUGGGAACUUCCAUGUGCCUAGGGUGUGGCCCUAAAAAGACAAAACAAAACUUCUAAAAAUGUUCAUAUAUUAAAAAAUUGAUAAAGACUAAGCAUCAAGUGACUGCUUUGUUUUUCCACUUUAACUUUUCAUGAUGUCUCUUACAUAAAGAGUUGGUGACUUCUAGAGCUUAGAUUUGUAUGUUUUAGGGACCACAGACUUCAAUUAAAAAAAGAAAAAUCGAGGCAGAUUCCCUCUUGGCAAGUCCCCGGAGCCCUGUGUAACUGCAGCCUCACAGGCUGGUGUGGAUCCUUUCUGCCUGUCCUCUGAAAACAGGAAGAAAAGAAGGACCCAGGCCGCCCUGGGGCCCCAAACGACAGUGGAAGGCAGAUUUUGUAGGUGUCCAGGGAUAGGCGCCCGGAGUUAAUGAGGUGAGAAUGUGUUUCCAACCUGUCACAGCCACAGUGUCAGGACGCCGUCCCUCUGCUCAUUCCAGGGAAUGGUGUCAGGACCAGGCCACAGGAGGUGCCUAAAGACACAUGCCAGCGCUGUUACGGAGAGGCUGGAGGGGCCGAGGCAGAGAUGGAAAGACCAUGGAUUCAAGUGCUGAAAACCGGGGUCUGUUCUCAGUCCAGAAAGCCUGGUCUCCGGGACCGCUGAGCAACUUCGUGAGGCUGGUGUCUAAGGUGACACUGGACCUUCCGCAGAUGCUGAUUGCAGAGUGAUGGGUAGGCCCCUCAGGGCCACAGAGGCACCCCUCGGAGCAGGGUGGUGGUUCACCCGAGCUCUCCCCUGACUGUGGUCCAGGUGCCUCAGGUCACAUCCACUCCCUUGCCUUUCUUUGCUCCCUUUCUGGCUUCUGUGUAAAUUGUGCGGUGUGUUUCCGGUUUCCAAACCAGCAAGUUUAAACUCCUCUGCUUGCCGCCAGCCAAGUUCUGUUACAUUCUAGAUGCCCCCCCCCCAAUUAUUUUUACUGAUCAACACAAUGUUCUCCCCUCCUGGCCCCCUGCGGACGGACACAGCUCCCUCUUCUUACUUCAAGGCCUUUGCUCAUUCUGUGUCUUUUUACUCUUUCCAGUUUCCACGCUUCCUUUAAGUUCCACGUAAAAAUUUACCUUCUGUGUGAAAAUUGUUUCACUUUUCCCAGUGAUUCAUCUCUCCCUUCUCUGCAAUCCUCUGGUAGCCAGAGGCAUGUCAAUGCAAGCUGACGCUAGAGGACCGAUGUUUAAUAAUGCUUGCAUGGUGUUUCUUGUGCAUGAACUCGUUUUGCCCUAAACUUAAAGCCUCCUUAAGGAAGGCGUCCAGGUCUUCCUCUGCUUUUGGUAGGCACACACAUUUUUUGGGGAGCACUGGUCGAUGGAGUUCUUCUUAUCCCCCAGCCAAAACCAUCUAAGCUGGGAACACAGCCCCACAUAUACAUACCCUGAGCCCUGAGGAUAUACCAAAGUCCAUGCUUAUCGACCCUCUUCUACCCAAUCCAGAAAGGUUCUGUGCGUCGAAAAACACAGCAACCUUUAUGCAGGACCAUUUGUUGUUCAUUGUUCUACUCGGUUGUUUCAGGUUGGAAAUUUUGACUUCCUGCUUUUGCACAGUCAUCUGGCCACGCUGCCAAUGAACUAACUUCACUUAGGAAGACUGUCAGAUCCUGCCUGGUUCUCAGGCUCUUUGUCUCAGAUCAGAUGUCCUUGACCCCACUUAUAGACACAUCCCUCUCCUAAACGCCAAGGCAAAACUGAAGUUUACCCCGGACAACGACAGCAGACCUUGGGCUGGAAAGCUGAAUGGUUGACCUUGGCCUUAUUUUGAGGCUGAGGCUCCACAUUUGCUCUGGAUCUGAGAUCUGGAUCCUGUCAUAUUCUCUGCCUCAGAAAUGCAAUCAGUUCUCCAGCAUCUGCCUUCUAGAGGGUUGAUACCAGUUGCACACCUCUCUGAUUCUGCCUGCUUCUCUGGGCCUCCUGGGGUUGACCUCAACUGGGUUUCCCAGUAAUGCUUCUCUUUUUAAACCACAUGAAAUGUCUUGACACCAGUCCUGUGCCGAAUUCCCACCUAAGUCCACACUCUACCUGUUGGUGUCAACUUCUUUCAGGCCUGUUGUAGAAUCUAAACUCUGCCUGCUUUAGCUUAGGGAUUUGUUCUGACCUCCGUCCUUCUCAGGCUGCUCUGGGCUCUUCUAUGUAACUUAACUAUUUCCUGGGAAAUAACAAGAGCAAGUGUCAUCAAGGCUCGGUGGGUUCAGCACGUGAUAUGUCGACAACUCAAUGAUCAAGGCCUGAAGUGGGAGGACAGGUGGGGGCCGGGGACAUCUGUGGCUGAACCCUGGGAGAGCAGCACAGCGAAGAUGUGAGGGGGAUGCAGUUCCCACUGUGGCCCAGCAGUAACAAAACCAGCUAGUAUCCACAAAGAGGCAGGUUCAGUCCCUGGCUUUGCUCAGUGGGUUAAGGAUCUGGCAUUGCCGUGAGCUGUGGUGUAGGUCACAGCCUCAGCUUGGAUCCUGCAUUGCUGUGGCUGUGGUGUAGGGUUCAACCCCUAGCCUGGGAACUUCCAUAUGCUGUGGGUACGGCCCUAAAAAGCAAAAAGCAAAAAAAAAAAAAAAAAAAAAAAA